AGGAGGAACAACCCCAGUGGCGGGGCCAGCUCUGGAGCCCUGGAUUCAGCCCCCACAGUAACUACAGAGCUCUCAUCUGCAGGGCCUGGAGGCUCCGGGCGGGG
rnacentral:pre_miRNA from 1 species